rnacentral:rRNA from 1 species
GACGAACGCUGGCGGCGUGCUUAACACAUGCAAGUCGAACGAUGAAGAAAAGAAUUGAAGCUUCGGCAGAAAUUCAUUUCGGAUUAGUGGCAGACGGGUGAGUAACGCGUGAGCAACCUACCUCUUACAAAGGGAUAGCCUCGGGAAACCGGGAUUAAUACCAUAUAACAUUGCGACGAAGCAUUUCGAUGCAAUCAAAGCUACGGCGGUAAGAGAUGGGCUCGCGUCCCAUUAACCAGAUGGUAAGGUAACGGCUCACCAUAGUAACGAUGGGUAACCGGCCUGAGAGGGUGAACGGUCACACUGGAACUGAGACACGGUCCAGACUCCUACGGGAGGCAGCAGUGGGGAAUAUUGCACAAUGGAGGGAACUCUGAUGCAGCGACGCCGCGUGAGUGAUGAAGGAAUUCGUUUCGUAAAACUCUGUUCUAUGGGAAGAAAAGGACUGUACCAUAGGAGAAAGCUCCGGCUAAAUACGUG